UGGGGAAUUUUGGACAAUGGGCGAAAGCCUGAUCCAGCAAUGCCGCGUGUGUGAAGAAGGCCUUCGGGUUGUAAAGCACUUUUGUCCGGAAAGAAAUGGCUCUGGUUAAUACCUGGGGUCGAUGACGGUACCGGAAGAAUAAGGACCGGCUAACUACGUGCCAGCAGCCGCGGUAAUACGUAGGGUCCAAGCGUUAAUCGGAAUUACUGGGCGUAAAGCGUGCGCAGGCGGUUGUGCAAGACCGAUGUGAAACCCCCGAGAUUAACUUGGGGAUUGCAUUGGUGACUGCACGGCUAGAGUGUGUCAGAGAGGGCUAGAAGUCCACAUGUAGCAGUGAGAUGCGUAGAGAUGUGGAGGUAUACCGAUUGCGUAGGCAGCCCCCUGGGAUAACACUGACGCUCAUGAACGAAAGCGUGGGGAGCAAACAGG
rnacentral:rRNA from 1 species